CCUCGCAACACAACAGCGGGCUGAAGCAGUCACACUGAACAAAGCCUCCUGCAGAAGCUGCGCUACAGGGUGCAUCACUCGGCGUCCUUCCCCUCUCCAGCCCUUCCUCAGCGGCUCCACGCGAGGCGGUGUCAGCGCAGCUCAGCGCAGCCAUCCGUGAGACAGCAGCGCAGAGCACGCGGAGACGGCGGCGGGCAGUGGGACGGCAUCACCCGGGGUUCUGCAAGCUGUAAUUCACCCGGCACGAGGAAAGGGAAUUAUGUGCGGUGUUAAUUUAAAUGGUAAAGCGCGGAGCCAACAGCAUCACUGCUCCAGAAGCUGAAAUCUGCAGAGCCCGGGAGAAUGUCACCUCCUAAACACCAUAGUCUAGCAACAAGCCCGGCUCUUUGUGCUGCGUGCGGCUUAACUGCAAUAGCUUUUAUUCUCUUAGAUCUUCGUGGUGACUUUAUUCCCUGGAUUUCCCAGCACAACGCCCGGCUCCACAACGCAGC
ensembl:lncRNA